rnacentral:rRNA from 1 species
AGAGUUUGCUUUUGGCUCAGGAUGAACGCUAGCGGCAGGCUUAACACAUGCAAGUCGAGGGGCAUCGGGAGGGAAGCUUGCUUUCCUUGCCGGCGACCGGCGCACGGGUGAGUAACACGUAUGCAACCUGCCCUCUUCAGGGGGACAACCUUCCGAAAGGGAGGCUAAUCCCGCGUAUAUCGGUUUCGGGCAUCCGAGAUCGAGGAAAGAUUCAUCGGAAGAGGAUGGGCAUGCGGCGCAUUAGCUUGACGGCGGGGUAACGGCCCACCAUGGCGACGAUGCGUAGGGGUUCUGAGAGGAAGGUCCCCCACACUGGUACUGAGACACGGACCAGACUCCUACGGGAGGCAGCAGUGAGGAAUAUUGGUCAAUGGGAGAGAUCCUGAACCAGCCAAGCCGCGUGAGGGAAGACGGCCCUAUGGGUUGUAAACCUCUUUUGUCGGAGAACAAAACCCGGGACGUGUCCCGGACUGCGUGUAUCCGAAGAAAAAGCAUCGGCUAACUCCGUGCCAGCAGCCGCGGUAAUACGGAGGAUGCGAGCGUUAUCCGGAUUUAUUGGGUUUAAAGGGUGCGUAGGCGGUCCGUUAGGUCAGCGGUAAAAUUGCGGGGCUCAACCCCGUCGAGCCGUUGAAACUGGCAGACUUGAGUUGGCGAGAAGUACGCGGAAUGCGCGGUGUAGCGGUGAAAUGCAUAGAUAUCGCGCAGAACUCCGAUUGCGAAGGCAGCGUACCGGCGCCAGACUGACGCUGAGGCACGAAAGCGUGGGGAUCGAACAGGAUUAGAUACCCUGGUAGUCCACGCAGUAAACGAUGAAUGCUGGUUGUCCGGGUCGAAUGAGAUCUGGGCGGCGAAGCGAAAGCGAUAAGCAUUCCACCUGGGGAGUACGCCGGCAACGGUGAAACUCAAAGGAAUUGACGGGGGCCCGCACAAGCGGAGGAACAUGUGGUUUAAUUCGAUGAUACGCGAGGAACCUUACCCGGGCUCAAACGGGAGUGGAAUGGACCAGAGACGGUUCAGCCUACGGGCCGCUUCCGAGGUGCUGCAUGGUUGUCGUCAGCUCGUGCCGUGAGGUGUCGGCUUAAGUGCCAUAACGAGCGCAACCCCCGCCGGCAGUUGCUAACGGGCAAUGCCGAGGACUCUGCCGGGACUGCCGCCGCAAGGCGAGAGGAAGGCGGGGAUGACGUCAAAUCAUCAUGCCCCUUAUGGCCUGGGCUACACACGUACUACAAUGGCGGCUACAAAGAGCAGCGAGACAGGGAUGUCGAGCGAAUCUCAUAAAAGCCGUCCCAGUUCGGAUUGGAGGCUGCAACCCGCCUGCAUGAAGUCGGAAUCGCUAGUAAUCGCGGGUCAGCAUACCGCGGUGAAUACGAACCCGGGCCUUGCACACACCGCCCGUCAAG